rnacentral:snRNA from 1 species
AGUGUAUGAACAUGUCCGUUUU